AGAGAUAAUGCUUAGAGCUUAGAGGAGAACAUAUUUGAGGGGUCUCUUUUAUAGAUGGGAGAGCAUAACCGAUUGACAGUGACAUCCGUAACUGCCUGGUAGUGGGCCGUUCGGAGCCACGUGGAGUUUGUUACGGAGAGUAGUGGUGUCCGUUGUCGCGACUUGCCGGGGAGUUCGGACCGAACGGCUGAAGCUCGGUUGGGACGUCUGGUGGAGCGGAAUAGCUCUCUGUCUCAGUAAUCUAAGAAAAACUCAGAUGUUUUCGAGGUUGCUGAUGGGUUAACUGUUAUUGGAUGCCUUAAGCAUUGAUGCUGU
rnacentral:lncRNA from 1 species